AGCAGCUGACCUUUCACUGGGAGGCAUCUGAGGAAAGCUCUGGAAGGUUGGCAUCAGUCUGGGCCAGCCACAUGCUAAAAUACCUCCCAGGGCUGAAUGGUGGUGAGCCCAGCUCUUCUGCAGUGGGAAAGCAGGGAAUUCCUGGCUAAAGAGUGGGGUGUGGUGUGAGCUCCACUGUAUUUGAGCUACUCAGAGGAGCAACAAGCUGCACCAUGUGACUCAGCCACAGACUUUUUGGUUCUGCAAAUUAAUCUCUUG